rnacentral:rRNA from 1 species
GACGAACGCUGGCGGCGUGCUUAACACAUGCAAGUCGAACGGAAAGGCCCUGCUUUUGUGGGGUGCUCGAGUGGCGAACGGGUGAGUAACACGUGAGUAACCUGCCCUUGACUUGGGGAUAACUUCAGGAAACUGGGGCUAAUACCGGAUAGGAGCUCCUGCUGCAUGGGGGGGGUUGGAAAGUUUCGGCGGUUGGGGAUGGACUCGCGGCUUAUCAGCUUGUUGGUGGGGUAGUGGCUUACCAAGGCUUUGACGGGUAGCCGGCCUGAGAGGGUGACCGGCCACAUUGGGACUGAGAUACGGCCCAGACUCCUACGGGAGGCAGCAGUGGGGAAUAUUGCACAAUGGGCGGAAGCCUGAUGCAGCAACGCCGCGUGCGGGAUGACGGCCUUCGGGUUGUAAACCGCUUUCGCCUGUGACGAAGCGUGAGUGACGGUAAUGGGUAAAGAAGCACCGGCUAACUACGUG